GACGAACGCUGGCGGCGUGCUUAACACAUGCAAGUCGAACGAAGUGGCGAACGGGUGAGUAAUGCGUAAUCAACCUGCCCUUCAGAGGGGGACAACAGUUGGAAACGACUGCUAAUACCGCAUACUGAAGGAGGGGAUUGCGUCGGAUGAGCUAGUUGGAGGGGUAACGGCCCACCAAGGCGAUGAUCAGUAGCCGGUCUGAGGGGGUGAACGGCCCCAUUGGGACUGAGACACGGCCCAAGCUCCUACGGGAGGCAACAAUGGGGAAUCUUUGGCAAUUGACGGAAGUCUGACGGAGCAACGCCGCGUGAGUGGUGGCGGCCUUCGGGUUGUAAAGCUCUGUUAAUCGGGACGCGGUACCGGAAUAGAAAGCCACGGCUAACUACGUGCCAGCCGCCGCGGUAAUAC
rnacentral:rRNA from 1 species